GUCCAGACUCCUACGGGAGGCAGCAGUGGGGAAUAUUGGUCAAUGGGCGCGAGCCUGAACCAGCCAAGUCGCGUGAGGGAAGACGGUCCUAUGGAUUGUAAACCUCUUUUGUCGGGGAGCAAAAGACGCCACGCGUGGCGUUCCGAGAGUACCCGAAGAAAAAGCAUCGGCUAACUACGUGCCAGCAGCCGCGGUAAUACGUAGGGGGCAAGCGUUAUCCGGAUUUACUGGGUGUAAAGGGAGCGUAGACGGCUGUACAAGUCUGAAGUGAAAGCCCGUGGCUCAACCGCGGAACUGCUUUGGAAACUGUAAAGCUGGAGUACUGGAGAGGCAGGCGGAAUUCCUAGUGUAGCGGUGAAAUGCGUAGAUAUUAGGAGGAACACCAGUGGCGAAGGCGGCCUGCUGGACAGAAACUGACGUUGAGGCUCGAAAGCGUGGGGAGCAAACAGGAUUAGAUACCCGGGUAAG
rnacentral:rRNA from 1 species